AUGGACUCGUCUCGCGUCAUACUCAUCCCCGGCACGCCGCCGCUGCCGUACGCCGCCUACGAGCAGCUGCCGUCCUCCUCCGCCGACGCCAAGCAGGGCCAGGAGGAGCAGCGGGCCGGCGGUGGCCUGAGGUGGCGCGCGUGCGCCGCCGUCCUGGCCGCCUCGGCCGUGGUGGCGCUCGUCGUGGCCGCCGCGGUCUUCGGCGCCGGCGGGGCGGGCCGUGACGCGGUGGCCGCCUCCGUGCCGGCGACCUCGGCGACGGGGUUCCCGAGGAGCAGGGGCAAGGAGCACGGCGUGUCGGAGAAGACGUCGGGGGCCUACUCCGCCAACGGCGGGUUCCCGUGGAGCAACGCCAUGCUGCAGUGGCAGCGCACCGGCUACCAUUUCCAGCCGGACAAGUACUACCAGAACGAUCCCAACGGUCCGGUGUACUACGGCGGAUGGUACCACUUCUUCUACCAAUACAACCCGUCGGGCUCCGUGUGGGAGCCCCAGAUCGUGUGGGGCCACGCCGUGUCCAAGGACCUCAUCCACUGGCGCCACCUCCCGCCGGCCCUGGUGCCCGACCAGUGGUACGACAUCAAGGGCGUCCUCACCGGCUCCAUCACCGUGCUCCCCGACGGCAAGGUCGUCCUCCUCUACACGGGCAACACCGAGACGUUCGCGCAGGUGACCUGCCUCGCGGAGCCCGCCGACCCGAGCGACCCGCUCCUCCGUGAGUGGGUGAAGCACCCCGCCAACCCCGUCGUGUUCCCGCCCCCCGGCAUCGGCAUGAAGGACUUCCGCGACCCCACCACGGCCUGGUUCGACGAGUCGGACGGCACGUGGCGCACCAUCAUCGGCUCCAAGAACGACUCGGACCACUCCGGCAUCGUCUUCUCCUACAAGACCAAGGACUUCGUCAGCUACGAGCUGAUGCCCGGGUACAUGUACCGCGGCCCCAAGGGCACCGGCGAGUACGAGUGCAUCGACCUCUACGCCGUCGGCGGGGGCCGCAAGGCCAGCGACAUGUACAACUCGACGGCCGAGGACGUGCUGUACGUGCUCAAGGAGAGCAGCGACGACGACCGGCACGACUGGUACUCGCUGGGCCGGUUCGACGCCGCCGCCAACAAGUGGACGCCGAUCGACACGGAGCUGGAGCUCGGCGUCGGGCUCCGGUACGACUGGGGCAAGUACUACGCGUCCAAGUCCUUCUACGACCCCGUGAAGCAGCGGCGCGUGGUGUGGGCGUACGUCGGCGAGACCGACUCGGAGCGCGCCGACAUCACCAAGGGGUGGGCCAACCUCCAGUCGAUUCCGAGGACGGUGGAGCUUGACGAGAAGACCCGAACGAACCUCAUCCAAUGGCCCGUGGAGGAGCUCGAUACCCUCCGCAUCAACACCACCGAUCUCAGCGGCUUCACCGUUGGCGCCGGCUCCGUCGUCCCCCUCCACCUCCACCAGACCGCUCAGCUUGACAUCGAGGCAACCUUCCGCAUCGAUGCCUCCGCCAUCGAGGCCCUCAACGAGGCCGAUGUUAGCUACAACUGCACCACUAGCAGCGGCGCCGCCACCCGCGGCGCGCUUGGGCCCUUCGGCCUUCUUGUCCUCGCCAACCGCGCCCUGACCGAACAGACGGGAGUCUACUUCUAUGUGUCCAAGGGCCUCGAUGGUGGUCUUCGGACUCACUUCUGCCACGACGAGUUGCGGUCGUCACACGCUAGUGAUGUGGUGAAGCGGGUGGUGGGUAGCACGGUGCCGGUGCUCGACGGCGAGGAUUUCUCCGUCAGGGUGCUCGUGGACCACUCCAUUGUCCAGAGCUUCGCGAUGGGCGGGAGGUUGACGGCAACGUCGAGGGCAUACCCGACCGAGGCCAUCUACGCGGCAGCGGGGGUCUACAUGUUCAACAACGCCACCGGCACUAGCGUCACCGCCGAGAAGCUUGUCGUGCAUGAUAUGGACUCAUCGUACAACCAUAUAUACACAGAUGAUGACUUGGUAGUUGUCAAUUAG
rnacentral:rRNA from 1 species